rnacentral:rRNA from 1 species
GACCUCAAAUCAGGUAGGACUACCCGCUGAACUUAAGCAUAUCAAUAAGCGGAGGAAAAGAAACUAACCAGGAUUCCCCUAGUAACGGCGAGUGAAGAGGGAAAAGCUCAAAUUUAAAAUCUGGCGGUCUCCUUUGAUCGUCCGAGUUGUAAAUUAGAGAAGUGUUAUCCGCGCUGGACCGUGCAAAAGUCUCUUGGAAAGGAGCAUCAUAGAGGGUGACAAUCCCGUCUUUGGCACGGACUACCAGGGCAUUUGUGAUGCGCUCUCGAAGAGUCGAGUUGUUUGGGAAUGCAGCUCUAAAUGGGUGGUAAAUUCCAUCUAAAGCUAAAUAUUGGCGAGAGACCGAUAGCGCACAAGUACCGUGAGGGAAAGAUGAAAAGGACUUUGAAAAGAGAGUUAAACAGUACGUGAAAUUGUUGAAAGGGAAACGCUUGAAGUCAG